CAAUCACAAACCUCUCUACAGAGUGACUGCCAGGCAUGACAGGGCCCUGAGAGCAAAACACCUCAAUCACACAUGCAACACACUUACAGAGUACGUGGAAAGAGAUGAAAAGGCCCUUCCCGACAUAAGAAGUGUGCAAGAGCUGCUGACAUUUCGAGCGUUAGAUGGACGAGACUGUACCUCAGGAGCAUCGGUGUAGUCGAACAUGCGGAAGACGACACUGGGCAUGGGGUAAACCGCAUCGUCAGAGUGAGCUGGAGGAGUGAAAGGGG